rnacentral:rRNA from 1 species
UACGGAGGGUGCAAACGUUGUUCGGAAUCAUUGGGCGUAAAGCGCACGCAGGCGGUCGUGAAGGUCGGAUGUGAAAUCCCGGGGCUCAACCUCGGAAUUGCGUUCGAAACCGUGCGACUGGAGUCUCGGAGGGAGAAGGGGAAUUCCUGGUGUAGGGGUGAAAUCCGUAGAUAUCAGGAGGAACACCGGCGGCGAAAGCGCCUUCUUGGCCGUAGACUGACGCUGAGGUGCGAAAGCGUGGGGAGCAAACAGG